AUCCAUGGUCUCAUGGGGGCUGCCGCUCGUGGCUGUACCCCUUCCUAGACAUGGAAGAGCAGUACCUUGCUAAUUGGCAAGGCUUUUACCAUCUUGUUGGUAUUAGUAGUUGACUGUAGCAAGUAACACGC
ensembl:snoRNA